AACAACUUUUCUUCAUCUCCUUAUUUUGAAUAAAAUAACCAAUUGAGCUUAUAUUCUUCUUCAUUUCCUUAUAGUUCUUUGUUUCUCUCUUUCUCUCUCUCUCUCUCUCUCUCUGAAUAAUCUGUUCUACACAAUACAGCUCAAGAAGCCAUUUUUUAUGGUCAGAAAAGGCAAAGCAAGCCUUAUUCUUCGUUUGCUUCCAUUCUCUACUAAUGGGUUCUUGCCUCAGCUCUCGUGUUGACCAUAAGAGCAGUAGUCUCGACGCCCUGAGUUAUCAAUCAUCAUCCUCACCGGCGGCUGAUAAGAGAGAAGGAGAGAUACUUAGCAAAGCCAACGUUAAGAGCUUCACCUUCAACGAACUAAAACUCGCAACGAGAAACUUCAGAUCGGACUCUGUUGUCGGAGAAGGCGGUUUCGGUUCUGUCUAUAGAGGUUGGAUCGAUCAGACAACUCUGGUUCCAACUAAAUCUAGUAACGGUCUUGUAGUUGCUGUUAAGCGUCUUAACCCUGAUGGCUUUCAAGGUCACCGAGAAUGGCUGACAGAGAUCAACUACUUGGGCCAGUUAAGUCACCCGAACUUAGUUAAACUGAUUGGUUAUUGCUUGGAAGAUGAGCAACGGCUUCUUGUGUAUGAGUUUAUGCACAAGGGUAGUCUUGAAGAUCAUCUCUUCACAAAUGGUGUGAAGUGUAAACCGCUCUCUUGGCUAUUACGGGUUAAGGUUGCACUUGAUGCAGCUAAGGGGCUUGCGUUUCUUCAUAGUGACCCUGUUAAAGUCAUAUACAGAGACAUCAAGGCCUCAAACAUCUUGCUCGACUCGGACUUCAAUGGGAAACUUUCAGAUUUUGGGCUAGCAAGAGACGGUCCAAUGGGAGAAACAAGCUAUGUUAGUACAAGGGUCAUGGGUACAUUUGGCUAUGCUGCUCCUGAGUAUGUGUCAACAGGUCACUUGAAUGCUAAAAGUGAUGUGUACAGUUUUGGGGUAGUGCUUCUAGAAAUACUCUCUGGAAGGCAAGCAUUGGACCAUAGCCUACCGACCAAGGAGCAAAACCUUGUGGACUGGGUACGACCAUACCUCACAAGCAAGCGAAAAGUUCUACUAAUGGUGGACACUCGUCUUAAGUCACAGUACAAACCCGAAGAGGCAGUGAGAAUGGCAAGCAUUGCUGUGCAGUGCAUCUCAUCUGAACCAAAGUCACGACCAACCAUGGACCAAGUGGUCCGAGCCUUGAUGCAACUGCAGGCAAGCAUGGUUACCGGCUAAAGUUGACACAAGUAAAGAUAUCAAAAGACUUGUGGGAUUGUAGUAGGUAUAUAAAGAUGUGGUUGCUGACUGUGGCUAGGUCUCAUGUCUCCUCGUGUGGUGUAAGAUUCCAUUUUCUUCCACGAAACAAACACUUAGGCUACAUGACAUGUUUUGAAAGAUGUGUUCACAAUACUUUUUCUUUCAAAACUCCGUAUUGUAUCCAAUGUCUGCUUAUAGAUUUUUUUUCUAGGAAAUAUUUGGAGUAUUCUCUGUAAUAUCUAUAUUAUCAAAAGAGAAGUACCCAUAUAAAUUGCUCCUAAGUUUUCAAUGUUAUUUACACUACUAUGCCACUGAGAAUUAAAUAAGUUUCCUAUUUUAA